CCAAUAGCGUAUAUUAAAGUUGUUGCAGUUAAAAAGCUCGUAGUUGAACUUCGGGGUCUACCCAUUGGUCAGGCUUAAUUGUCUGCACUGGUGAGAUGGAUCUCUACCUUCUGAGGAACUUUCAUGCCAUUUAUUUGGUGUGAUAGGAAAUCAGGACUGUUACUUUGAAAAAAUUAGAGUGUUUAAAGCAGACUAUCGUCUGAAUACAUUAGCAUGGAAUAAUGAAAUAGGACGGACUGAUUCUAUUUCGUUGGUUUCUAGGAUCACCGUAAUGAUUAAUAGGGAUAGUUGGGGGCAUUAGUAUUCAAUUGUCAGAGGUGAAAUUCUUGGAUUUAUUGAAGACUAACUACUGCGAAAGCAUUUGCCAAGGAUGUUUUCAUUAAUCAAGAACGAAAGUUAGGGGAUCGAAGACGAUCAGAUACCGUCGUAGUCUUAACCAUAAACUAUGCCGACUAGGGAUCGGACGAAGUUAAUUUUAUAAUGACGCGUUCGGCACCUUACG
rnacentral:rRNA from 1 species